ensembl:sense_intronic Gm28941 predicted gene 28941
GUUAACCCUAGAAUCAAAGAAACAGUACUAAUUUAAAACUUGCUUAAUGAAAUUUAGCCAGUUUUGCUGGUAGCUUUAAUAAAAAGUGUGUUUUUUCCAAACCUGUAACCCAGUGGAGGUGUUGUGCAUUGGAAUUUCCUUCCUCCUUUGUUAUAGACUUGGCCUCUUUCCAUCUUUGUCAGACUAUCUGUCCCUUUGUUUCAGCUCCAAAGGGGAAGGGUGACUUGAUUAGGGUUUUCUCCCCUAUGAGCCUCACCUCACCCCCUCAUCCCACUCCCCAGUAUCUCCAGGAUGCUAGUGAAUAGUGGUGACCCAGAACUUAAGUUUACAAUCCUGUCCCUGGUGACAUCUAACAAGUAUGAGCUCAGCCUGGCUUCUUGCACGCAGACACUUCAGAUCUUCAUUGUUGUGUCUAAAGGAUGUGUACGUGCAGGCCCACACUGGACUGCACUCUAGCCUCUCUGGUUUUCACUGUUGGCUGUUCUUGGGCCCUGCCCCCAGCUAGUUUAUUUAGGGUGUUUAUUAUGGAAUUUGCCAAGUCCUAUGGAUCAGAUUAUACACUAACUUUUUCAUAUAUGUAUGUAUGUAUGUAUAUAUUUUUGUAUGCAUGUAUGAUUAUACAUUGAUGUGUGUGCAUGUGUGUCUGGAAAAUAUAUAUAUAUAUACAUAUACAUAUACAUACACACACACACACACACACACACACACACACACACACACACACACACUGAUACCUAAAAACUUUAGUUUGUCUUGACAUCAUUAGUCUUUGUUUUAGUAUUUCUGUAUGUGCCAAGAUUUGGCUUAGAUUUUUCUCUUCUAAGUAGUCUAUGGAAAGCACAGUUUUUAUAUUUAUUGUACCUUUCUCUUUAGAUCAUGAAGACACUAAAAGUUACUCAUAAAGUUAGAGAUUUUGUUUCAUUUUUGAAACUGAAGGUAUUAAGUGACAGUAACUAUCCUCUCAAAAAAAUUCCUACUUUUUAAAAUUUUAGUUUCCAGACUAGUGUGUGUUAGGGGGG